UACGAAGGGUGCAAGCGUUACUCGGAAUUACUGGGCGUAAAGCGUGCGUAGGUGGUAAGUUAAGUCUGUCGUGAAAGCCCCGGGCUCAACCUGGGAAUGGCGAUGGAUACUGGCUCGCUAGAGUGCGGUAGAGGAGAGUGGAAUUCCCGGUGUAGCAGUGAAAUGCGUAGAGAUGCGGAGGAACACCGAUGGCGAAGGCAGCCCCCUGGGCCAAUACUGACGCUCAGGCACGAAAGCGUGGGGAGCAAACAGG
rnacentral:rRNA from 1 species